rnacentral:rRNA from 1 species
CCUACGGGAGGCAGCAGUGGGGAAUCUUGCGCAAUGGGCGAAAGCCUGACGCAGCAACGCCGCGUGCGGGAAGAAGGCUUUCGGGCUGUAAACCGCUUUCAGCAGGAACGAAAAUGACGGUACCUGCAGAAGAAGGAGCGGCCAACUAUGUGCCAGCAGCCGCGGUGAUACAUAGGCUUCAAGCGUUGUCCGGAUUUAUUGGGCGUAAAGAGUUCGUAGGCGGUCGAGUAAGUCGGGUGUGAAAAUUCUGGGCUCAACCCAGAGACGCCACCCGAUACUGCUUGACUUGAGUUCGAUAGGGGAGUGGGGAAUUCCUAGUGUAGCGGUGAAAUGCGCAGAUAUUAGGAGGAACACCGGUGGCGAAGGCGCCACUCUGGAUCGAUACUGACGCUGAGGAACGAAAGCAUGGGUAGCAAACAGGAUUAGAUACCCUGGUAGUCCAUGCCGUAAACGGUGGGCACUAGGUGUGGGUUUCUAUUAACGAAUUCCGCGCCGUCGCUAACGCAUUAAGUGUCCCGCCUGGGGAGUACGGUCGCAAAGACUAAAACUUAAAUGAAUUGACGG